rnacentral:rRNA from 1 species
GACGAACGCUGGCGGCGUGCCUAAUACAUGCAAGUUGAACGCUUCUUUCUUAUCGAACUUCGGUUCACCAAGAAAGAGGAGUAGCGAACGGGUGAGUAACACGUGGGUAACCUGCCCAUCAGCGGGGGAUAACACUUGGAAACAGGUGCUAAUACCGCAUAAUGCUUUUUCUCACAUGAGAGAAAGCUGAAAGGCGCUUUUGCGUCACUGAUGGAUGGACCCGCGGUGCAUUAGCUAGUUGGUAGGGUAACGGCCUACCAAGGCAACGAUGCAUAGCCGACCUGAGAGGGUGAUCGGCCACACUGGGACUGAGACACGGCCCAGACUCCUACGGGAGGCAGCAGUAGGGAAUCUUCGGCAAUGGACGAAAGUCUGACCGAGCAACGCCGCGUGAGUGAAGAAGGUUUUCGGAUCGUAAAACUCUGUUGUUAGAGAAGAACAAGGAUGAGAAGAGAAUGUUCAUCCCUGG